GACGAACGCUGGCGGCGUGCUUAACACAUGCAAGUCGUACGGUAAGGCCCUUUCGGGGGUACACGAGUGGCGAACGGGUGAGUAACACGUGAGUAACCUGCCCACAACUUUGGGAUAACGCUAGGAAACUGGUGCUAAUACUGGAUAUGUGCUCCUGCUGCAUGGUGGGGGUUGGAAAGCUCCGGCGGUUGUGGAUGGACUCUCGGCCUAUCAGCUUGUUGGUGGGGUAGUGGCCUACCAAGGCGGCGACGGGUAGCCGGCCUGAGAGGGUGACCGGCCACAUUGGGACUGAGAUACGGCCCAGACUCCUACGGGAGGCAGCAGUGGGGAAUAUUGCACAAUGGGCGCAAGCCUGAUGCAGCAACGCCGCGUGCGGGAUGACGGCCUUCGGGUUGUAAACCGCUUUCAGCAGGGACGAAGCUUUUUGUGACGGUACCUGCAGAAGAAGCACCGGCUAACUACGUG
rnacentral:rRNA from 1 species